rnacentral:misc_RNA from 1 species
GGGAUGUAUUUUGUUCCUGAGAAAGAUAUAACUACAGCUUCUUUUGAGGGAGCUGAAAGCAGUAAACGUAAAGAAGAGGAGUGCACAGCAGUUGCUCCAGCGCUUGAAGACCUUGGUAUUGUAUAUGCUCAUCGGUAUGAAGACAUUGUUAACCUCGGACCAGCAAAGAUCAAAGAGAAGAAAGAACAGACCAUGCAUUUAGAUUACCCUCCGCGCCAGCCAAAGGCUUCAACUGCUGGGAAGAAGAAAUUAGACACCAUAACUGGGAAGGAGAACACAGGAACUGUCAAUCCUAUAACGAUCCAUAAAAAGAACCAGUACAGCAUCCUUGCUCGUUCCAUGGGUAUGGAAGAAGUUCAGUUUAGCAAAUGGCUCUUAUCUGCAACACCAGCAGAGC